AUUGAACGCUGGCGGCAGGCUUAACACAUGCAAGUCGAGCGGGCGAGGUUGCCUCGGUAACUGAGCUAGCGGCGGACGGGUGAGUAAAGCUUAGGAAUCUGCCUAUUAGUGGGGGACAACAUUCCGAAAGGGAUGCUAAUACCGCAUACGUCCUACGGGAGAAAGCAGGGGAUCACUUGUGACCUUGCGCUAAUAGAUGAGCCUAAGUCGGAUUAGCUAGUUGGUGGGGUAAAGGCCUACCAAGGCGACGAUCUGUAGCGGGUCUGAGAGGAGGAUCCGCCACACUGGGACUGAGACACGGCCCAGACUCCUACGGGAGGUAGCAGUGGGGAAUAUUGGACAAUGGGGGGAACCCUGAUCCAGCCAUGCCGCGUGUGUGAAGAAGGCCUUUUGGUUGUAAAGCACUUUAAGCGAGGAGGAGGCUUACCUGGUUAAUACCCGGGAUAAGUGGACGUUACUCGCAGAAUAAGCACCGGCUAACUCUGUGCCAGCAGCCGCCGUAA
rnacentral:rRNA from 1 species